rnacentral:tRNA from 1 species
GCGGAAGUAGUUCAGUGGUAGAACACCACCUUGCCAAGGUGGGGGUCGCGGGUUCGAGCCCCGUCUUCCGCUCCA